rnacentral:piRNA from 1 species
CAUACUGGUUAGGACCUACUCACU